UACGUAGGGUGCGAGCGUUAAUCGGAAUUACUGGGCGUAAAGUGUGCGCAGGCGGCCGCGCGAGUCGAGUGUGAAAUCCCCGAGCUUAACUUGGGAAUUGCGCUCGAAACUACGUGGCUGGAGUGUGGCAGAGGAAGGUGGAAUUCCACGUGUAGCGGUGAAAUGCGUAGAGAUGUGGAGGAACACCGAUGGCGAAGGCAGCCUUCUGGGCCAACACUGACGCUCAUGCACGAAAGCGUGGGGAGCAAACAGG
rnacentral:rRNA from 1 species